UACGUAGGGGGCAAGCGUUGUCCGGAAUUACUGGGCGUAAAGAGCUUGUAGGUGGUUUGUCGCGUUGUUCGUGAAAUCUCACGGCUUAACUGUGAGCGUGCGGGCGAUACGGGCAGACUAGAGUACUGCAGGGGAGACUGGAAUUCCUGGUGUAGCGGUGGAAUGCGCAGAUAUCAGGAGGAACACCGGUGGCGAAGGCGGGUCUCUGGGCAGUAACUGACGCUGAGGAGCGAAAGCAUGGGGAGCGAACAGG
rnacentral:rRNA from 1 species